UAGACCAUGGCCUACUCUAAUCACGGCCCAUCAGCUGGCUAUCUCCCUGUAGCCUAAAAUGAAUUGUGAUAGCUCCGCCCAUUCAUAGCCAGAGGGUCGUAGUCCCUCUCAAACUUUUCCAAAUUCCACGGCUUCUUUCCACCUUUUAAAAUUUUCUGAAAUUCUGCCAUUGCCGUGCUGAAGUUCUGACGCCAUGAUAUGCAUCGCUCUGCCAGGGUGUUUUAGUGUUUGGUAAGUAUUUGUUCCUUAAUUUUUUAUCCUUAAUUUUUCUUGAUAACAUUCAUAGGACAAAACGCCGACACAAUGCAAAUAAAAACAAGUAAAAUGGGACGCAAGUACUUUUCAGAGAGCUAGACCAAGCCGGGCACUGUCUGAGGCCCAGCACACAAUGUGUAAUUUAUGUCAAAAGCGGCUGAGGAUCUGGGGGAGCCAACUGAAGUAGAUUAGUAAUGGGCAGAGCAUUGAAUUUUACAUACGAACAACAACAACAUCACUUCCUACUUUUGAAGUUUCACCAAUAUUCUCAUCUUUCGUAAUGGGUCUAUGGAUUUUAUAUUUCCUGUUGUUUUCAAGUCGUUGAUAUACAUGACCUUUUCGGACAUUUCAGUAACAGUCUUACUUGCAUCAACUUCUUUCAUAACAUUGUCGUUCCGAGCUGAAUUUAUUAGUGAUACUACUUCUUCGUCCAGAAAGCCACUAUUAUGGUUGCUUGCAGGUGUUGAAGAUCGAUAAUUAGAAUACAAAUCUUGUUCAUAGUGA
rnacentral:lncRNA from 1 species